rnacentral:rRNA from 1 species
AUGAACGCUAGCGGCAGGCUUAACACAUGCAAGUCGAGGGGCAUCGGGAGUAGCAAUACUUGCCGGCGACCGGCGCAAGGGUGCGUAACGCGUGAGCAACAUGCCCGUAUCAGGGGGGAUAAUCCAUGGAAACGUGGUCUAAUACCCCAUAGUAAUUAUGUAAGGCAUCUUAUAUAAUUUAAAGCUUUGGUGGAUACGGAUUGGCUCGCGUGACAUUAGCUGGAUGGUAAGGUAACGGCUUACCAUGGCUACGAUGUCUAGGGGUUCUGAGAGGAAGGUCCCCCACACUGGAACUGAGACACGGUCCAGACUCCUACGGGAGGCAGCAGUGAGGAAUAUUGGACAAUGGAUGGAAAUCUGAUCCAGCCAUGCCGCGUGCAGGAAGAACCGGCCCUAUGGGUUGUAAACUGCUUUUGUAUGGGAGCAAUAAGGGCUACGUGUAGUCCGAUGAGAGUACCAUACGAAUAAGCACCGGCUAACUCCGUGCCAGCAGCUGC